UACAGAGGUCCCAAGCGUUGUUCGGAUUCAUUGGGCGUAAAGGGUGCGUAGGCGGCGCGGUAAGUCGGGUGUGAAAUCUCGGAGCUUAACUCCGAAACUGCAUUCGAUACUGCCGUGCUUGAGGACUGGAGAGGAGACUGGAAUUUACGGUGUAGCGGUGAAAUGCGUAGAUAUCGUAAGGAAGACCAGUGGCGAAGGCGGGUCUCUGGACAGUUCCUGACGCUGAGGCACGACAGCGUGGGGAGCAAACAGG
rnacentral:rRNA from 1 species